GACAGAGGGGGCAAGCGUUGCUCGGAAUUACUGGGCGUAAAGGGCGCGUAGGCGGGAUGGCAAGUCGGUCGUGAAAUCCCUCGGCUCAACUGAGGAUCGUCGAUCGAUACUGCCGUUCUUGAGGAUUGCAGAGGCGAGUGGAAUUCCUGGUGUAGCGGUGAAAUGCGCAGAUAUCAGGAGGAACACCGAUUGCGAAGGCAGCUCGCUGGGACGUUACUGACGCUGAGACGCGAAAGCGUGGGGAGCAAACAGG
rnacentral:rRNA from 1 species